CAAAUUAAAGCUUUUAGCAUUUUAUUUACAUUAAAAAGAAAAUUGUUAAUUCAAUUUAAUUUGA
rnacentral:tRNA from 1 species